CAGUUCAACCUGUAACACUCCCAAAGGGCCCUUCGAGCACAGGGUCACUGAGAACCUGCUUCUGCCAGGGGGGGCCAAGGCGGGUAGUAAUGCCUCUUCCUCAGGCCAGGCAAGUGGCCCUUUAGCCUUCACCAGAAGAUGGGGGUGGGGUGCGGUGUCAGGAGCUUCUCGGGGCUCACAGCUCCACCUGAGGUGGGGGAAGCGGGAGAACAGGGCUGAGCCCUCCGGCCCCUGGGAGCUGUGAGUUCUCCUGGCCAGCCCAGCAAGUCAGGGUACUGGAACACAGUACUGGAGAAGGUGUGGGUCCCCUCUGAAGGCACCCGGCAGAGAUUCUCCAACUUCAAACACAGCAGGAUCCCCUGGCUGGCCUGUUGAAACAGACUCCUGGGCCACAGGGCCGGUUUCUGGCCCUGGAUGUCUUUGGCUGGCUGAGCUGGCAGGAACCACAAGAGCACCUUGCCAUCAUAUCUGAAUCUCAGAAUGGGUCAGCAGUCGGUUGUGGAACAGGUCUUGACUCAGAGGAUUCCACUGAGCGAUCUAGACGCCAAGGAGUCCAGAUGUCUUAGAAGGCUGGGAGGCGGCCCCUAACUCAUGGAGAGAAGCUGAGCAGCAGAAAGAACAACCUUCUUGGAGCAGGAAUUCCCCAGAAAUGGGAAACACCGUUUGGUCUUUCACGGGGACCCCAUCGAGAUAAAAAGCAUCUGUACAGCAAAGGAAACAAUCAACAAAACCAAAAAACAACCGAUGAAAUGGGAGAAGAUAUUUGCAAAUGACAUAUCAGAUAAGGGGUUAGUAUCCAAAAUCUAUAAAGAACUUACCAAACUCAACACCCAAAAAACAAAUAAUCCAAUGAAGAAAUGGGCAGAAGACAUGAAUUGACACUUUUCCAAAGAAGACAUCCAGAUGGUCAACAGACACAUGGAAAGAUGCUCAACGUCACUCCUCAUCAGGGAAACACAAAUCAAAACCACACUGAGAUACCACCUCACGCCGGUCAGAAUGGCUAAAAUGAACAACUCAGGAAACAACAGAUGCUGGAGAGGAUGUGGAGAAACGGGAACCCUCUUGCACUGUUGGUGGGAAUGCAAACUGGUGCAGCCGCUCUGGAAAACAGUGUGGAGGUCCCUCAAACAAUUAAAAAUAGAACUACUCUACAACCCAGCAAUAGCACUACUAGGAGUCUAUCCAAAGGAUACAGGAGUGCUGAUGCAUAGGGGCACAUGUACCCCAAUGUUUAUAACAGCGCUUUCAACAAUAGCCAAAUCAUGUCAAGAGCCCAAAUGCCCAUCAAUUGAUUAAUGGAUAAAGAAGAUGUGGUUUAUAUAUACAACGGAAUAAUAUUUGGUAAUAAGAAAGAAUGAAAUCUUGCCAUUUGCAACAACUGGAGGAUACUGGAACUGGAGGGUAUUAUGCUAAGUGAAAUAAAACGUCAGAGAAAGGCAGACAUCAUAUGUUUUCACUCAUAUGUGGAAUUUGAGAAACGUAACAGAAGACCAUGGGGGAAGAGGAAGGGGGGAAAACAGUUUCAAACAGAGAGGGAGGCAAACCGUAAGAGACUCUUAUACAGAGAACAAAACUGAGGGU